UUGAACGCUGGCGGCAUGCUUUACACAUGCAAGUCGAACGGCAGCACGGGGGCAACCCUGGUGGCGAGUGGCGAACGGGUGAGUAAUAUAUCGGAACAUGUCCGGAAGUGGGGGAUAACGUAGCGAAAGUUACGCUAAUACCGCAUAUGCCCUGAGGGGGAAAGGGGGGGAUCGCAAGACCUCUCGCUUUCGGAGUGGCCGAUAUCGGAUUAGCUAGUUGGUGAGGUAAAGGCUCACCAAGGCGACGAUCCGUAGCUGGUCUGAGAGGACGACCAGCCACACUGGGACUGAGACACGGCCCAGACUCCUACGGGAGGCAGCAGUGGGGAAUUUUGGACAAUGGGGGAAACCCUGAUCCAGCCAUUCCGCGUGAGUGAAGAAGGCCUUCGGGUUGUAAAGCUCUUUCGGCAGGAACGAAACGGCGGAAUCUAAUACAUUCCACUAAUGACGGUACCUGAAGAAGAAGCACCGGCUAACUACGU
rnacentral:rRNA from 1 species